rnacentral:rRNA from 1 species
GGUGAAGCAGAGCUUGCUCGGUGGAUCAGUGGCGAACGGGUGAGUAACACGUGAGCAACCUGCCCCUGACUCUGGGAUAAGCGCUGGAAACGGCGUCUAAUACUGGAUAUGAGCUGCGACCGCAUGGUCAGCAGUUGGAAAGAUUUUUCGGUCUGGGAUGGGCUCACGGCCUAUCAGCUUGUUGGUGAGGUAAUGGCUCACCAAGGCGUCGACGGGUAGCCGGCCUGAGAGGGUGACCGGCCACACUGGGACUGAGACACGGCCCAGACUCCUACGGGAGGCAGCAGUGGGGAAUAUUGCACAAUGGGCGGAAGCCUGAUGCAGCAACGCCGCGUGAGGGACGACGGCCUUCGGGUUGUAAACCUCUUUUAGCAGGGAAGAAGCGAAAGUGACGGUACCUGCAGAAAAAGCGCCGGCUAACUACGUGCCAGCAGCCGCGGUAAUACGUAGGGCGCAAGCGUUAUCCGGAAUUAUUGGGCGUAAAGAGCUCGUAGGCGGUUUGUCGCGUCUGCUGUGAAAUCCCGAGGCUCAACCUCGGGUCUGCAGUGGGUACGGGCAGACUAGAGUGCGGUAGGGGAGAUUGGAAUUCCUGGUGUAGCGGUGGAAUGCGCAGAUAUCAGGAGGAACACCGAUGGCGAAGGCAGAUCUCUGGGCCGUUACUGACGCUGAAGAGCCAAGUGUGCUCCAGCCAAUUUGCUUACAUACCGUUGAUAAUCCACCCAGAAAUCGUUUGGAA